rnacentral:tRNA from 1 species
GCGGGGGUCGCCAAGUCUGGUCAAAGGCGCGAGGCUCAGAACCUCGUCCCUAAGGGGUUCGUGGGUUCAAAUCCCACCCCCCGCA